UUCCCUUUAGUCAGCAUUAGGGUUUUAAACCCUAAAUUGAACUUUUUCCAUUCAGCCAGCAUUAGGGUUUAAACCCUAAACUGAGCUUUUCCAUGCAGUCAGCAUUAGGGUUUUUAAACCCUAAAUAGAACUUUUCCUUUAGUCAGCAUUAGGGUUUUUAACCCUAAACUGAACUCUUUCAUUCAGCCAGCAUUAGGGUUUUAAACCCUAAACUGAGCUUUUCCAUGCAGUCAGCAUUAGGGUUUUAGACCCUAAACUGAAUUUUCCCUUUAGUCAGCAUUAGGGUUUUAAACCCUAAAUUGAACUUUUUCCAUUCAGCCAGCAUUAGGGUUUUAAACCCUAAACUGAGCUUUUCCAUGCAGUCAGCAUUAGGGUUUUUAAACCCUAAAUAGAACUUUUCCUUUAGUCAGCAUUAGGGUUUUAAACCCUAAACUGAACUCUUUCAUUCAGCCAGCAUUAGGGUUUUAAACCCUAAACUGAGCUUUUCCAUGCAAUCAGCAUUAGGGUUUUAAACCCUAAACUGAAUUUUUCCUUUAGUCAGCAUUAGGGUUUUAAACCCUAAACUGAACUCUUUCAUUCAGCCAGCAUUAGGGUAAUAAACCCUAAACUAAGCU
rnacentral:lncRNA from 1 species